rnacentral:lncRNA from 1 species
UGAUGGAGAGACACUCGACCCAGGCCAGGCCAGAGGAGGCGUUGAAGCUGGAGCAGCCUCCGAUGUGCAAGGACCGAGAGCCGACCACAGCCUCUCAGAGCACAGGGAUGGCCACACCCAGAGGUGGAGGGCCCUGACGGAGCCCUCUCCCAGCUUCCCCUGGCCAAGUUCUUCCCUCCGGACAACCCCACCCACCAGAUGCUGGAGCGGAGCCUGCGGGAGGAGGAGCUGCGAGCACAGCACCAGGCCGCGCUGCUGCGCCUGCGAGAGAUGGCGCUCCAGGAGAAAACGCUCGCGGAGCUGGCCUGGCUGGAGCAUCGACGAGGGUGCCUGGACAGCAAGAGGGACAGAGCUGUGCUGGCCGCGCUGGUUGAGAAGCAGCAGCAAGCCCUCAGCAGAUUGGAGAAGGAGCAGAGGGAAAUCCAAUACCUGAGACACACGCAGCUGUUCAGGCACCGGGACAGGAAGCUGCUUCUGCAGCAUCAGAGGGACGUCGUCUCCAUGCCGGGGCCUGUGGACAUCCUCCCCAUCCCGGGGCCCACGGACGUCGUCCCAGCGCACGAGCUGCAGGCCCAGGCCAAGCUGCAGCAGGGUUCCAGCCCCAAAGUCAAGGCCGCCUGGGAGGGAGGCUCAGAGACAAGCCAGCAGCCAGAGGCCUCCCUGUGUCCCCUGACCCCAUGCAGGCCCAGCAGCUCCACCAGCCAUCGCCCCCAGAGCAGCCCCGCAAGCUCAAAGGCCACGCGCCCUCCCACUGAGCAGCAGGAUGUGACGCCACCCCAGACAACCUCCGAUGCAGAUGGUCACCAGCAGCCUCCGAGGCCAGCAUGGGGCGAGGACACACACGACCCCCAGGGCCCGCUGGUGGAGAGUGGCAGCCAUGUCAGUCAAGAGCCUGGGGAGCAGCCUCGGGCCCCUCUGCUGGGCCUGCAGCACGUGAGCCCCCCGGACGGACAGCGGCUGGGCCCAGCCUUUCCCGCCGAGGAGGCGGAGGGGCGCCUCCCCACAGCUCAGUGCAGGUCUCGGGAGGUGAAGGAGCCACCCCCAGGUAAGCACCCUGGAAACACCGCGUGGGCCUCCACGGCGCCAGACACUUCCCCCACAUCCAGCAGAGCCUGUCCGAGGCUGGAGCUCAGCCACUGGACAAGGACGGAAAGCAAAGAAGAUGGGCCCUGGUGGCCCCCCACCCUGGCCUCAGACCCCUUCACUGCAAGAAGAGUGGCCGGCUCCAUCUCCUACCGGAGGUGACGCAGCGGCUCUUCUGGAGAAAUUAAAAGUCAUAACUGGC